rnacentral:rRNA from 1 species
ACGUAGGGGGCUAGCGUUGUCCGGAAUCAUUGGGCGUAAAGCGCGUGUAGGCGGUCCGGUAAGUCCGCUGUGAAAGUCGGGGGCUCAACCCUCGGAUGCCGGUGGAUACUGUCGGGCUUGAGUACGGAAGAGGCGAGUGGAAUUCCUGGUGUAGCGGUGAAAUGCGCAGAUAUCAGGAGGAACACCAAUUGCGAAGGCAGCUCGCUGGGACGUUACUGACGCUGAGACGCGAAAGCGUGGGGAGCAAACAGGA